AUGGACUCCAGACUCCUCUGCUGUUUUGCCCUUUGCCUCCUGGGAACAGGCUCUAUUAAUGUCAAAGUCAUCCAGACUCCGGCAUACUUGGUUAAAAACCAAGGACAGAAGGCAAAGAUGAAUUGUACCCCACACAAAGGACAUUCUUUUGUUUACUGGUAUCAACAGAUCCAGGAUAAAGAAUUUAGGUUCUUGGCUUACCUUCAGAAUCAAGAAGUUAUUAGUCAAAUUGAUUUGGACAAGAAGUGGUUCUCUGCUGAAUGCCCCCUAUCCUCACUCUGUAGCUUGGAAAUCAAGUCUUCUGAACUGGAAAACUCGGCACUCUAUUUCUGUGCCAGCAGUCAGGAUAUCGGCCUAAGUGUUAAUCCACUUUACUUCGGAGGCGGCUCCAGACUCACGGUCCUAGAGAGCGUGAAAGAUGUGCAAACACCCCAGGUGGCCGUGUUUGAACCCUCUGAAGCCGAGAUCACUGAGACCCAGAAGGCCACACUCGUGUGCCUGGCCACGGGCUUCUACCCCGACCACGUGGAGCUGAGCUGGUGGGUGAACGGCAAGGAGGUGCAGAGUGGGGUCAGCACGGACCCCGAACCCCUCAAGGAGCAGCCUGAUGAGAAGAAAUCCACCUACUGUCUGAGCAGCCGGCUGAGGGUCUCUGCCGCCUAUUGGCAUGACCCUCGCAACCACUUCCGCUGCCAAGUUCGCUUCUAUGGGCUCAGCGACGAGGAUGAGUGGAACUUUGAAGAAACUAGAAGGCCCAAACCUGUCACCCAGAAUAUCAGUGCUGAAGCCUGGGGUAGAGCAGACUGUGGCCUCACCUCGAUGUCGUAUCACCAGGGGGUCCUGUCUGCCACCCUCCUCUAUGAGAUCCUGCUGGGCAAGGCCACGCUGUAUGCUGUGUUGGUCAGCGCCCUGGUGCUGAUGGCCAUGGCCAAGAGAAAGAAUUCCUGAAGCUGACUCAAAGAUGGAGCCAAGAGUCGCCAACCUGCUGUGGCCCCAAAUGGCCUGUGCGUUUCUACCCCCUGCCACCUCCGGUGCUCCUGCAGAAUCAGUGGGUUCCUGCCCACCACUCCCACUCACUGUUGUCCCAGUGCAUCCCACUAGGACCAGUGGUCCAACCUCCCUUACUCACCCAGUGGCGA